GAAAUGGACUGAAUGUAUUUUGCAUAAUGAGAUAGACAUGAACCUUUGGGGCAAGAGGUGGAAUAUUGUAGUUUGGUGGUUCAGCCUUACAGGACCCAGUUUGGCACAAUACCAGCUGUCUUUACCAAUGGAUCCAUGUCUGAUCCUCCAGAAACACAUGACCUUUGUCUCAACAAAAUUUGGUAAUAAGAGGAGGUGCAGAGCUGGAAUCAAUCCAUCAUGACACAGGCAUAAGUGAGCCAUGGACCUCUGCUCCUACAGGGUCUUGCUGAGCUGCUUAAAGCCUUGCUAAGUUGCUGAAACUGGCUUUGAACUUGUGAUCCUCCUGCCUCAGCCUUCUAAGCUGCUGGAAUUACAGACAUCACAACCAUACCUGCCUUACUUGCUAUUU